rnacentral:rRNA from 1 species
AUCAACUUUCGAUGGUAGGAUAGAGGCCUACCAUGGUGGUAACGGGUAACGGGGUGUUAGGGCACGACACCGGAGAGGGAGCCUGAGAAACGGCUACCACAUCCAAGGAUGGCAGCAGGCGCGCAAAUUACCCAAUCCCGACACGGGGAGGUAGUGACAAUAAAUAACAAUACGGGGUUCUUUCGGAUUUCGUAAUUGGAAUGAGUACAAUUUAAAUCUCUUAACGAGGAACAAUUGGAGGGCAAGUCUGGUGCCAGCAGCCGCGGUAAUUCCAGCUCCAAUAGCGUAUAUUAAAGUUGCUGCAGUUAAAAAGCUCGUAGUUGAAUUUCGGGACCAAUAUGUCGGUCGUGCCUCGGUACGUACUGGCAUCGUUGGUUUCUCCCUUCUGACGAACCAUGAUGUCAUUUAUUUGGUGUCGUGGGGAAUCAGGACUGUUACUUUGAAAAAAUUAGAGUGUUUAAAGCAGGCUCACGCUUGAAUACAUUAGCAUGGAAUAAUGAAAUAGGACGUUUGAUUCUAUUUUGUUGGUUUCUAGGAUCGACGUAAUGAUUAAUAGGGAUAGUUGGGGGCAUUAGUAUUCAAUUGUCAGANGUGAAAUUCUUGGAUUUAUUGAAGACUAACUACUGCGAAAGCAUUUGCCAAGGAUGUUUUCAUUAAUCAAGAACGAAAGUUANGGGAUCGAAGACGAUCAGAUACCGUCGUAGUCUUAACCAUAAACUAUGCCGACUAGGGAUCGGAUGAUGUUAAUUUUUUAAUGACUCAUUCGGCGCCUUACGGGAAACCAAAGUGUUUGGGUUC